rnacentral:rRNA from 1 species
UACAGAGGUCUCGAGCGUUAGGCGGAAUCACUGGGCUUAAAGCGUGUGUAGGUGGAUCGUUAAGUACCUUGUGAAAUCCCACGGCUUAACCGUGGAACUGCUUGGUAUACUGGCGGUCUUGAGUCAGCUAGGGGCUACCGGAACAAAUGGUGGAGCGGUGAAAUGCGUAGAUAUCGGAAGGAACACCUGUGGCGAAAGCGGCUCACUGGACCACAACUGACGCUGAGGCACGAAAGCUAGGGGAGCAAACAGG